rnacentral:rRNA from 1 species
UACGUAGGGUGCAAGCGUUGUCCGGAAUUAUUGGGCGUAAAGAGCUCGUAGGCGGUUUGUCGCGUCUGCUGUGAAAUCUGGGGGCUCAACCCCCAGCCUGCAGUGGGUACGGGCAGACUAGAGUGCGGUGGGGGAGAUUGGAAUUCCUGGUGUAGCGGUGGAAUGCGCAGAUAUCAGGAGGAACACCGAUGGCGAAGGCAGAUCUCUGGGCCGUAACUGACGCUGAGGAGCGAAAGCAUGGGGAGCGAACAGG